UUUUGCUCACAAGUGCUAAAAAAUGUUCAUAACUACGUGUUGGUUACACAAUGUAAAUGUUGCAAAUCUCGUGAGUGUGGCUGUUAGGCUGAAGGAGCUAUGGUACCCAUCACAAUGUACCUUUUUUUCAUAUUACAUCACUAUUCAGAGUUGAGAUGAAAUGCAUAAUUAUAAGGUGUAAUUAGAUUUUUUUGCACAACUUCACUACUCUGUGUUGUUGUAUCAUAUUGAGUCACUUGUAGCAGCAGUUCAUGACCAGCAGAACGUGUAUAGCUGCAGUUAGUCAGUCCUUGUACUACUACUUGUAUACUGUAAUAACUCCACACAUGAAUGUAUGAAAUAUGUAUGAAUUAAGCUUUCCAGUUUUCAGUUCCUCUCAGUUUAACUAACAAAAUCGUCUUAAUUAGUUUCACUUUAGCUACCCGCUGAUGCAUAUACCCUUUUAAUUUGCACAGACUUUAUUCAUGUUUCGUCCUGAGCUCCAGGAUGAAGAAGUUGGAAAAAUAAAUGCAUGCUGGAUCUAGGGAAGUGCAGGACUUUGUUGUAAUGCCAUUUUUUCUUGGAAUUUUGUUUACUGGUGAUUUUGCUGAGAAUUUGGUGUAUAUUUACUUGCCACUAUGUUUACUUUCAAUUUAUUUUUGGAUUGUAAAACAUAUUGGCUUCGAAUCUGGACUGAAUGUAUAUCUAUGAUGUAAAUAUUAUUUGACAUGAAGAGGCACAACCCAAAUCAAGAAGUGGAUGAAAUGUGUCACACCCUGUUUUUGCUAUCACUUAUCUGUAUUGUGAAA
rnacentral:lncRNA from 1 species